CCUACGGGUGGCAGCAGUGGGGAAUAUUGCACAAUGGGCGCAAGCCUGAUACAGCCAUGCCGCGUGUGUGAAGAAGGCCUUCGGGUUGUAAAGCACUUUCAGCGGGGAGGAAGGCGUUAAGGUUAAUAACCUUGGCGAUUGACGUUACCCGCAGAAGAAGCACCGGCUAACUCCGUGCCAGCAGCCGCGGUAAUACGGAGGGUGCAAGCGUUAAUCGGAAUUACUGGGCGUAAAGCGCACGCAGGCGGUCUGUCAAGUCGGAUGUGAAAUCCCCGGGCUCAACCUGGGAACUGCAUUCGAAACUGGCAGGCUAGAGUCUUGUAGAGGGGGGUAGAAUUCCAGGUGUAGCGGUGAAAUGCGUAGAGAUCUGGAGGAAUACCGGUGGCGAAGGCGGCCCCCUGGACAAAGACUGACGCUCAGGUGCGAAAGCGUGGGGAGCAAACAGGAUUAGAUACCCUAGUAGUC
rnacentral:rRNA from 1 species